UCGAGCGCGAAAGGAGCAAUCCGAGUAGAGCGGCGCACGGGUGCGUAACACGUGGAUAAUCUGCCCUUGAAUUCGGGAUAACCUUCCGAAAGGUUGGCUAAUACCGGGUAAGCUCACGGUGACUUCGGUCGCUGUGGGAAAAGUAGACCUCUGUUUACAAGUUUACGUUUGAGGAUGAGUCCGCGGCCCAUCAGCUAGUUGGCGGGGUAAUGGCCCACCAAGGCUACGACGGGUAGCUGGUCUGAGAGGACGAUCAGCCACACUGGAACUGAGACACGGUCCAGACUCCUACGGGAGGCAGCAGUGGGGAAUUUUCCACAAUGGGCGAAAGCCUGAUGGAGCAACGCCGCGUGUGUGAUGAAGGUCUUCGGAUCGUAAAGCACUUUCGACCGGGACGAAAAACCUCUGGCUAACAUCCAGGGGCCUGACGGUACCGGGAGAAGAAGCACCGGCUAACUCUGUGCCAGCAGCCGCGGUAAUACAGAGGGUGCAAGCGUUGUUCGGAAUUAUUGGGCGUAAAGCGCGUGUAGGCGGCUUGGCAAGUCAGAUGUGAAAGCCCAUGGCUUAACCAUGGAAGUGCGUCUGAAACUGCUGAGCUUGAGUGCCGGAGAGGAUGGCGGAAUUCCGCAAGUAGAGGUGAAAUUCGUAGAUAUGCGGAGGAACACCGGUGGCGAAGGCGGCCAUCUGGACGGCAACUGACGCUGAGACGCGAAAGCGUGGGGAGCAAACAGGAUUAGAUACCCUGGUAGUCCACGCUGUAAACGAUGAGAACUAGGUGUCGUGGGUGUUGACCCCCGCGGUGCCGUAGCUAACGCAUUAAGUUCUCCGCCUGGGAAGUACGGUCGCAAGAUUAAAACUCAAA
rnacentral:rRNA from 1 species